UACGUAGGGGCCGAGCGUUGUCCGGAGUUACUGGGCGUAAAGCGCGCGCAGGCGGCUCGUCAAGCCUGACGUGAAAGCCCCCGGCUCAACCGGGGAGGGUCGUCGGGGACUGGCGGGCUUGAGGUCGGCAGGGGUUGGUGGAAUUCCCGGUGUAGUGGUGAAAUGCGUAGAGAUCGGGAGGAACACCAGUGGCGAAGGCGACUACCUGGCCUGUUCUUGACGCUGAGGCGCGAAAGCUAGGGGAGCAAACGGG
rnacentral:rRNA from 1 species